rnacentral:lncRNA from 1 species
CCCAAAAGGGCAGACUCGGGGGGGGGGGGGAUGAAAGAAGAUUCCGUAGUCGUAUCUGUGCGCGAACUGAGAACGGGGGAAAGGGAAGGGGGGAAUGGGGAAGGUCGGUGAGGAGAGGGUGGAUGGCAGACGUUCAGGGCGCGAGAGGAUAAAGUGAAUGCCGGGUGGUUAAAGGGGUGGAAAAAAGGACGAAGAACGCCGCCGCCGCCGCCAUGAGCAGAGUAGAUCGUCGCGAACCCGACUGGAGGCGGUGAGGAUGAAAGAAAAAAAAGAUUGCGCUCGCUCGUGACGUGAGGAAAGAGAGAGAGAGAAAGAGAGAGAGAGAGGGGGGGAAGGGGGCUGAGAACGAGAGGAAUAAUCGCACGACUGAGUGGAGCGAUAGAUGGCGGACGCUAACCACUCGACGAUGAAGAGGUUACCGUCGUGAUUAGUCGACUUUAACGUCUCGCGGCAUGAUUCCUCGAACGAAGGGAUUGAAACCUUAAAUGACGUAUCUGUUAAGGAAGCGAGAAGUCCACGGGUGAAAACCUGAUUUAUGAAUAAUUAUUGUCGACCAAGUGACUCUUAACAGUUGCUGAUUAAUAGCGGUGGUGUCGCAAAAAUUAUCGUUUCUCCGCUGACCCGUCAGUUAAUCGUCGACACUCGUGUCUUCUUUUUUUUUUUUCCUUAAUACUAUAAUUAUAACUUCGCACUUAGCUCGCAUUAUCCGAACGCGCGCGUGUUUCCACGCAGCGAUGAACCGCCUCGACCUUGUAACGUGAUCGGUGUGCAGUUACAGUCACGGUCGCCCGGCCGGCGGGGCGACUUGCACUACUUCGGUAGCGAACGCACGGUGGCGUAAUGAUGAGUGGGCAGUUUGUCUCUCUUUCCGCCCGGCCCAUGAUUACUAACCUCCCGCGGAAUAUCUUCUGCGCUUUACCUUCGACGUUUCGGAGUGAUUUAUCGCGCGAGGCUGAACACGGCAGGCUCGUAUUCCGCUUCUCUCUCUCUCUCUUUCUCUCUCUCUUUGUCUCGCUGGCGCAACCGAGCUGAGCCGUCCGUAAUACCCCUUCGGCGUUUACGUCGACGUCGCGGUACGACGGGCUUUUUCCCUCCUUUUUUUUUCUUUGUAUCGACGCUGAUCGAGGCUUCUGUACGUCACUAAAUUUUAAAUUGCCGAUACUUUGAUCUUCAACAUAAAAUGUAUGGACAGACAUUUAUAUAAGAAUUUGUUUUUAUCGGGAUAAGAUAACUUGAUGUAUGUGUAAAAAAAAAGGGGGGCGAAGGAAAUCUCGCGAUAAUCCCGGGUCGCGCAGCUACUUUAUAAACAUUUCUCGAUUUUAAGCACGUACGGGCGUCGCUUAUGUGCGAACGCGGGGAUCGCUUAACAGGUGAUACCGUGCGGAAAUUGUGGUUUAGUUUCGCGAUACCGAUAGCAGCCCAGGCUCAUCUUCCGGGCUUAGCGCGGGCUAUAUGGAGCUGUUUGAAGAGAGGGAGGGGAUGGGGAGGCAGGCUCGACGUGUGUAUCGAGAUGCCCCCGAGUGCUGUCAUUGUGUUGCACACCAUCUUCCAUUGGGCGGGUUCUCACGAGGCGGCCAGGAGGCAGGCCAUACGUCCGAAUGGCCAGACCGCUCGUGGUGUGAUCCCUCCACAAAGCGAUCUCGAAAUUCCAAAUUACUUCGCGCUCCGAUCACUGAAUCCGAGUAUUUGCACGGCACGAUCGCUUUAGCCAUUUCGGCAAGAAUGACAAUGUACAUUCGCAAUAGGUAUUAUUACGUUAAGCAUUGUAGUAAUGAUUUAUGGAUGCGAGUCAAUCUAUUCUUCUCGUGCACGACUCGUUAUAUAUAUAUAUUUUUUUUUUCUAAAAGACAAAAGCUGAAUUUCCAUAAAGAAAUAACACAUACGAAUGACGAAUUCAAUUGUAACGAAAAAUUAUUUAUUUAAACGUAUAUCAUUAAUUUUUUUGAAGUAACGCUCAAAGGAGAGUGAAAUAGAGUUUUAUUAGUUCGUUAGUCCAUUAAUUGGGAGAGAUGUGUAACAAUCCAAGCGACGAAAUGUUUGCGGACCUAAGCGGAAGCAAAGUUGUAAAUUAAUUAGUGGCUGGAGUGUGUGUGUAUGAUAGAAGAUCGCGUAGAGCUGUUAAGCCGUUAUGGAUGUCUCGAGGCAUCUCCCAACUCAAAACACUCGGUGCCGAGAGAGAGAGAGAGAGAGAGAGAGAGAGAGAGAAAGAGAGAGUUAAUCCACAGGUCUGACAGCCCGAGAAAUCUGUCAGACUAGGGGCGGCUUGUAGAGACGCGUCGUUAGCAGCGAAGUUAUAAAUUAAUUGGAGUGCGUGCAACUUCUCCGUAUCCGCGAUUUUCGUGGAAAGCGACCGCAAAAUGACCACGUCGGCCAGCUGGGGGCGGAGGUCAGCCGCUGAGGGAAAACGUGGCGACCCCGUGACCCCCGGGUGUGCGAAAGUCUCUCGCAGCAGGGCGGGAUCUUAAACAUUUACCUGCAGGUACGCGUUGCAAGAGCGAAGGGGGCGAUUCGCCCGCGUCGCGCGGGCGACGUGCGUUAAAUGCGAUUUCGUCGAAUGUCGCGCUCACCCCGAUAUCCCCGGACUCGGCACAAUUUUUAUGUGCGUGUAUCGAACAUGCGGCCGUCCGAUACACCGAACGGACGUUUUCGUUAUCGGAGAUGUACCAUGCGCCGGCCGUCAGUCCCCAGGCGUUUGUUCCAGGUCGUCCUCCCUCUUCCCUUCCCUUUAUCCUAGAUUUUUCCCUUUUCCUUCCUGUCCCGCCUGGCUGUAACAGCGCGCUGUUGUUCCGCCGAGGCAAUCCGCUGAUGUUUUUGAUCUCCCGUUACACCCGUCGUCGGCACACAAUUCGGUAAUAAAUAUCGGACUUCUCCCGCGGGAGUAUAUCGCAUUCGACAUUUAUCGCGGCGCACCGUCCUCAUUGGCAUUAAAAUACCCCCGCGAACUUGUGAACUUUCGAUAUUGCGACGGUCCUUAGAAACGCUUCUCUCUGCGUAUUCGACAAUGAAAAAAAUUUUUUUUAUUUAUUAGUCGCACGCGAUAUGGCGUGGAAUUAAAAUGUCGAUAAACACGUCGACGCGCCUCGUAUUAAAUUACGGAUAUAGAUAUCCGCGUUGGUGUCGCGUCACGAAUACCGAGCGAUUUAACCUGAAUGAAGGGAAAUAGAGGAGAGAAUCUCACUUUUGUGGAUUACUCGUCAUCACCUUACGAUCUGCGAAUCUACUGCGGCUGCAAUCGUCAUCGUCGUCGUCGUCGUAGUCGUCGUGUCGUUUCCGUUGGCCUUUAAUGCGAAUUUUACAUGCAUGGAGCGAAACGACGACGACGACGACAACGACGACAUGGAUGGGUAAAACGCGGGAAAGCGAUGCCAGGCACGUAUCAUUUUAGAACGGAAGGGGGAGAGAAAGAGCACCGACGCGCAGACGGCAGCCCUUUACGUGCGAAAGCGCGACUUCUUUUUUGCACGCACCCCCUCCGUCCUCUUCAUUACCCCUUGAUUUUUUGUCGACUUCCACCCACCAAUUUCUCCUCCCCCUUUUUUUCCCCUUCACCCUUUUGUCGUCGCUCGCACGGUCUCGCGGUACGGCAGGACUUUUGAGGGAGGGGGAGGGCUCGAAACAGCGGAACGGUGCGAAGGGGUGCGAUUUUAAUAUCUCGCGAGCGCGUCCAAGGUGGCUUUUAUUAAUUCGUUUCGUGUUUUUACGUUAAUUCGCGCGCGGUCUACUUAAUUUGCGCCGAGUCCGUUUGCAUCGGAGACCCCGGGCAUUUCUCCGCAUUCGCGGCGCUAUCAGCCAAUUACGACUGCUUAUGAAGAUGCGCUGUAAUAAAUUUCACCGCCGUGAAAAUGUGUAGCGUCGCGCGGUAGAUAACGGAAUCCUUCUUUGCCGAGAGAUUUUCGCAAGCUGAUUGUCGAUAAAGAGAGAAGGGAACGGUACUCCCGUAAACACAAUUUAACUUCCUAGUGACAUUAUCGUAGUUCAAAGAAUUCGACGAUACUCUUCUCCACACGUGCGCCGUUGUCUCCAGAAUAAAGUAAUAAAUUCCACCGUUAGUCUCUUAUACAGUCCAGUUGAUCGAUCGUUUGAUCGCAGGUUGGAAAUUGUCGCGCGGUGACUAACAAUGUAGAUUUUAUCGCGAAUAAAGUAUUAAUCUCAUCUAAUCUCGUCGCUACGUUUUUUUUUCCCCGGGAAUGGCAGACUCGACCCGAGUCACGACGAUAAAUCAUUCGCGCGAGUAAUUGCAAUUUUUUUUUUUCCGCGCGCGACUAAAGGCGCACCGAAAGCAUCGCACACAUCUGGAAUAUUUUUAUCCGCUCCGUCGUAGUCGACAACCUUGUAAACGUUGAUGCCGUGAGUCACGCUCGAUUCCGCGCGAAAUCGUAAUAAAGACGAGCGAAGCUCGGUAUUAAGCGGGGGGAACGCGUAAAGAAGAGAGGAGAAGAGAUUCCCCUUCAAUCCGUUUGCAGCUAAUGCGUUAACGACGGGCGAAAUUGAGAUUUCGGCGCUCCGCCGGUCCUCCAGCCGGCAGCUGGAACUUGGAUAGGUCAGCGAACGGCAGCACUGGCGGGGUAGUACGUUCCUCUCGACGAGCCCGCUGAGGCGUGGUGGGGAGAAGAAGAAAGGAGCGUACGUGCCGCGGCUCACGUAAUCUCAAACGAGAGACGUCCACCUGCUGCCUCCUCGUCGUCGUCGUCGUUGAAAUUAUUGCGGCUUUUUCGUCGCUCAAGGCGAAUUUACACGCCUCGUGUCCGCACCGCUGUUACGGACGAAUUACUCGCCGGGAAAAGUGAAUCGCCCGCCUCCUCCCUCGACGAUAUUCUCGCGCGAGACGUGUCGGGCUGCAAACGAUACAAAGAUAAAAAUAGCGCGAUUAUCAUUGCUAUCUUUUUGAAACCGCCUCUCGAAUUACGAUUGUUGAUUGUUAGGUUUGAUUCGCUUAUCUAUUAUUUGAUAUAAUUUUAUUUUUAAUUCGAAAGUUAAUCAACUUUGCCCUAAUAUUUUCCUUUGGCUGGGGUAAUCCCCUGUAUUUUGUCACCGACGCGUCACCCGACAAAAAAUCGCGUUUCUCCCGUUGAGUCUGGUCGUUUUGUAUUUAAUAUUUUUCACCGGCGCAGGCUGCAACUGUUCUACGGUCCACGAUCUCCUCCGUUAAAAACCGCAGAAAAUGACAUUCCACCCUCCGCGAGCUCCGGUUCGCUGACCCUCGCUUUGGCCUUCCGCCCUUUCUCUUUCUCUCUCUUUCUUUCUCCCCCCCCCUUUUUUUAUAUACUGGCCAUUAUGCUUAUGCGAAUGUGUGCGUGCCGUAAAGGGGAGAAAGUGGAAAUAGGAGAAGCGAGAAAGGUCGUUUAAAUCCUUCUUCAUUCUCCCGCAGAGUUGCAACCCCGAGCGUGUUUUUGCCUUUCCUCCCUCUCGCGAUGCCAAGCACUCGCCGCACGAUAUCAAAGGCAAACACGAAAGAAAAGAACGAGUCUUCAAAAUAUUUUACAGCGUCUCUUUCGACGUAAUCAUUGUUAAUCUUGGGUAUUUGUAUUUGCUUUCUGAACUUUUUUUCCCUUCCCAAGGAGCUCAAAAUUAAAAUCUCAUAAAAAGAAGCCUUUUCUAUAACUGAGAAUGUUGAAAUUACUAAUUGAGCAGAAGCUUCCAACAUAAAGUUAAAGUAAUUAACGAGUAUUAUAAAGUGAGCAGAAUAAUUAAUGCAAAAUAAAACGAGGGAGGUAAAGUCGGCUAAGUUAAGUUUAAAGAAAAAAGGGAAGUGUUUAAGCUACGAAGUAUCCUGGAGUAAUUCGCGUGUAAAAGCUUACCGGUGCCAGGUUUUACGAGUAUUUUUUGUUUGAUGAGAUUUCUGUGUAAUACCUUCCAUGAUUAUGCGGCGCUACCGAGUAACUCUGAGGCUUUGUCGAAUUUCUUCGGGAAUAAGGAGCUUAACUCGGACGUAUCCAUGGUUUUCCCUUUUUUUUUUUUAAAGCUCCUUCCCUCAGCGAGUAGCUGGUUCGCAGGUCAUUUAUGCCGCAACAAAGCGUAUUGUGUUUGCAAUGGAUCUUUAACGGUGUUCGUGGACGGCUGCUUUAUGUAUGAAAUCAUAUUCAAACAAUUCAAAUACUCAUGUAUUACCAUUGUAUCGACCGCGAUAGAUUUACGUGCUUCACGCACAUAUACGUCUGAUAUAUUCAAAAAUUUUUCUUUGCAUAAAAUUUCACGUGAUUUUACGUGAGCUUUGCAAUUAACGGUCCAAUUAUAACGUUCUCGCGCAUUAAAUUUUUAUUCCUAGUGCUCGAUAAUGAUUCGAAUGUUUCCUUUGCUAUAAAUUGAAAUGCAAACGUAAUACAAAAGGAUAGAAAAAGGUGAGGGGGUUGUAAGCUUUCAUGACGCGCGCGUGCGAUGAAACGGUGGCCGCGCGAAACGCAAUUUUCACACGCAACGAAUGUUCGUCCGACGGGGUUGUUCCGCGAUGUCUAAGUCAAGUGGAUCAAAGCUCGAUCGGACGGACGUCCGCUCUCGAUCGGAGUCAGUUGAACGUUUCGCGCGACGAGAAUCGCUUUCAUAUACACUCGCGAGUUUGCACAGAGUCAUAAAUACCGCACGACCGCGCGUGUGACGGCCGUGUUUUCGCGUGCAGGCGAACCGUGACGUCGAUAUUUGCCUGGCACUCGCGAUACAGGGAAUACGUGGCAAAGCCGAGGGAGAAAGAGAGACGGAGACAGACAGACCGUUGACCAGCGUGCGUGCCUGUACGUGAGGAGAGAACCAAAGUUACCUCGUGCAAUUGCGAGGUAACCAUCUCCUUGGCUACUUCUGAUUUUAUAUGCCUUUGUUUAAGAUAUUCAUGGACGGAUUUAUGUGCAGAGUGU